UACGUAGGGUGCAAGCGUUGUCCGGAGUUAUUGGGCGUAAAGAGCUCGUAGGCGGUUUGUUGCGUCGGCUGUGAAAUCCCGAGGCUCAACCUCGGGUCUGCAGUCGAUACGAGCAAACUAGAGUGUUGCAGGGGAGACUGGAAUUCCUGGUGUAGCAGUGAAAUGCGUAGAUAUCAGGAGGAAUACCGAUGGCGAAGGCAGGUCUCUGGGCUGACACUGACGCUCAUGCACGAAAGCGUGGGGAGCAAACAGG
rnacentral:rRNA from 1 species